rnacentral:rRNA from 1 species
UAGGGAAUCUUCGGCAAUGGGGGGAACCCUGACCGAGCAACGCCGCGUGAGUGAAGAAGGUUUUCGGAUCGUAAAGCUCUGUUGUUAAGGAAGAACGAGUGUGAGAAUGGAAAGUUCAUACUGUGACGGUACUUAACCAGAAAGGGACGGCUAACUACGUGCCAGCAGCCGCGGUAAUACGUAGGUCCCGAGCGUUGUCCGGAUUUAUUGGGCGUAAAGCGAGCGCAGGCGGUUAGAUAAGUCUGAAGUGAAAGGCAGUGGCUCAACCAUUGUAGGCUUUGGAAACUGUUUAACUUGAGUGCAGAAGGGGAGAGUGGAUUUCCAUGUGUAGCAGUGAAAUGCGUAGAUAUAUGGAGGAACACCGGUGGCGAAAACGGCUCUCUGGUCUGUAACUGACGCAGAGGCUCGAAAGCGUGGGGAGCGAACAGG